UGGGUUUAAAGUGUCCGUAGGCGGCAGUGCAAGUCCGUGGUCAAAAGGCCCCCGGCUCAACCGGGGAAAAGCCAGGGAAACUGCACCGCUAGAGCCAGGCAGGGGGUAGGGGGAAUUCCCAGUGGAGCGGUGAAAAUGCGUAGAGAUUGGGGAAGAACACCGGUGGCGAAGGCGCCCUACUGGGCCUGGGCUGACGCUGAGGGACGAAAGCUAG
rnacentral:rRNA from 1 species